UCCUACGGGAGGCAGCAGUAGGGAAUCUUCGGCAAUGGGGGCAACCCUGACCGAGCAACGCCGCGUGAGUGAAGAAGGUUUUCGGAUCGUAAAGCUCUGUUGUAAGAGAAGAACGUGUGUGAGAGUGGAAAGUUCACACAGUGACGGUAACUUACCAGAAAGGGACAGCUAACUACGUGCCAGCAGCCGCGGUAAUACGUAG
rnacentral:rRNA from 1 species